rnacentral:piRNA from 1 species
UAGACCAGCACAAAACUUUGAGGUGUUCUU